rnacentral:pre_miRNA from 1 species
CAACUACUCCCUCUGUCCCAAAUUUCUUGUCUAAGAUUUGUCUAGACACGGAUGUAUCUAAUACUAAAAUGUGACUUGAUACAUCCGUAUCUAGACAAAUCUAAGACAAGAAUUUUGGGACGGAGGGAGUACUUU